CGGGGGGGGCAAGCGUUGUUCGGAAUUACUGGGCGUAAAGGGCGCGUAGGCGGUGCUCUAAGUUAGAUGUGAAAACUCUGGGCUCAACCCAGAGCCUGCAUCUAAAACUGGAGUGCUAGAGUUCUGGAGGGGGUAGCGGAAUUCCUGGUGUAGCGGUGAAAUGCGUAGAUAUCAGGAGGAACACCGGUGGCGAAGGCGGCUACCUGGACAGAAACUGACGCUGAGGCGCGAAAGCUAGGGGAGCAAACAGGAUUAGAUACCCUGGUAGUCCUAGCCCUAAACGAUGGAUACUUGGUGUGACUGGGAUUGAAUCCAGUCGUGCCGAAGCUAACGCAUUAAGUAUCCCGCCUGGGGAGUACGGUCGCAAGGCUG
rnacentral:rRNA from 1 species